CGCGCAGGCGGCCUCUUAAGUCUGAUGUGAAAGCCCCCGGCUCAACCGGGGAGGGCCAUUGGAAACUGGGAGGCUUGAGUAUAGGAGAGAAGAGUGGAAUUCCACGUGUAGCGGUGAAAUUCGUAGAUAUUCGGAGGAACACCAGUGGCGAAGGCGGCUCACUGGCUCGAUACUGACGCUGAGGUGCGAAAGCGUGGGGAGCAAACAGGAUUAGAUACCCUAGUA
rnacentral:rRNA from 1 species